rnacentral:rRNA from 1 species
CUACGGGUCGCACCAGUUAGGAAUAAUCUACAAUGCGCGAAAGCGUGAUAGUUUGAGCCAGAGUGUUUUUCAAUUGAAAGACUUUUGUGAAAUGUAAAAAGUUUCACGAAUAAGGACUGGGUAAGACUAGUGCCAGCCGCCGCGGUAAUACUAGGCGGUCCAAGUCGAAACCAUUUUUAUUGGGUCUAAAACAUCCGUAGCUUGCUUGACAAGUCUUCUGUGAAAUUUUACGUCUAAAACGUAGAGCGCGCAGAAGGUACUAUCAAGCUAGAGACCGGAAGACGUAAGAAGUACAUUCAGAGUAGCGGUUAAAUGUGUUAAUCCUGGAUGGACUAACAAGAGCGAAGGCAUCUUACGAGGACGGUUCUGACAGUAAGGGAUGAAAGCUAGGGGCGCAAAUGGGAUUAGAUACCCCGGUAGUC